rnacentral:rRNA from 1 species
UACGAAGGGGGCUAGCGUUGCUCGGAAUCACUGGGCGUAAAGCGCACGUAGGCGGACUCUUAAGUCAGGGGUGAAAUCCUGGAGCUCAACUCCAGAACUGCCUUUGAUACUGGGAGUCUUGAGUUCGGGAGAGGUAAGUGGAACUGCGAGUGUAGAGGUGAAAUUCGUAGAUAUUCGCAAGAACACCAGUGGCGAAGGCGGCUUACUGGUCCGGUUCUGACGCUGAGGCGCGAAAGCGUGGGGAGCAAACAGG